rnacentral:lncRNA from 1 species
CUGCCUUAUCGGCCUCGCCGAUGGGUCAAUAUUGAGUCGAUGGGUCAUCGUCUCUGGGAGAAUUCCCGGCAUAUCCGCCGCCGACCAAGCGAAUACGUCGGUAUUUGCCUUUAGCAGCUCUGCCAAAUGUUGCCGCUCGGGGUCGGGUAAUUGAGACCCGACCCACACCUUUUGGUCAGGAUUCCCCGCUAUCGUGAUGGGAACGAGCUGUUCGGCCGGCUCGCCCCACUCUUCUUCCUCCCGUUGGUCCAGCUUAUCGGCC